rnacentral:sRNA from 1 species
AUACUUUCAGUUUUUACCCUUGAGUAAGUGAUACAACCUCCUUUUAUCCUAUGAUAUCUAUAAUAUCUAUAUCCAAUCUUUGCAAGGCCGAGAUCAACUCAAAGCUCGAUUGGGAACGAGUCCCCCGCGACGUUUCGCUUUUUUUUUUUUUUUCGAUAUUCGGCCAUAAGACAAUUCGUGAUUCCAUCAAGCUCAAAGCCAGACUACACCUGGCAACGGCGGAUGCAAUCCGCAAUCCGCAAUCCGGCAGACCACCCCUCAAGUGCAAGUUGUCCCCAGUAGAUACGCGGGGGUAUUCUAGAGUUUCAUUCACACGCUCCUUUAUUACCUUUCUCAAUGUACUCCUCUUGGUUCAGCAUUCCACUUGAUGCAAAUAUUAGUCAAUUGCUAUUUGGCGUUGUUAUGAAAUGGGCGGACAGGACAGCCUUCUCCCGUUCAUUUUUUAAAUCCGAUACCGAAUACCAAGAGACUCUUUUGCGUGUAAAAGGAUUACAGAAUUAGAAAUAUGGAAUUAUGUCAACAAUGUGCAUUCAUCCAUCACUAGUUUCAAAGGCACAGAGUUGACAGUCCAAAAGUAGUUUAACUUGUAGUAAUUAGUUGUAGUUAUAGUGUC